GACGAACGCUGGCGGCGUGCUUAACACAUGCAAGUCGUGCGGUAAGGCCCUUUCGGGGGUACACUAGCGGCGAACGGGUGAGUAACACGUGAGCAACCUGCCCUUCACUUUGGGAUAACUGCCGGAAACGGUGGCUAAUACCGGAUAUGACUUCCUCACUCAUGUGGGUUGGUGGAAAGCCUUCGGGGGGUUGGGGGUGGGCUCGCGGUCUAUCAGCUUGUUGGUGGGGUGUUGGCCUACCAAGGCUUCGACGGGUAGCCGGCCUGAGAGGGUGACCGGCCACCCUGGGACUGCGAGACGGACCAGAAUCGUACGGGAGGCAGCAGUGGGGAAUAUUGGACAAUGGGCGAACGCCUGUUCCAGAAACGCCGCGUGAGGGAUGACGGCCUUCGGGUUGUAAACCUCUUUCGCAUGAGACGAAGCGAGAGUGACGGUAGCAGGUAAAGAAGCACCGGCCAACUACGUG
rnacentral:rRNA from 1 species